rnacentral:rRNA from 1 species
AGAGUUUGAUCCUGGCUCAGGACGAACGCUGGCGGCGUGCCUAACACAUGCAAGUCGAGCGAUGAAGCCCUUCGGGGUGGAUUAGCGGCGGACGGGUGAGUAACACGUGGGUAACCUGCCUCAAAGAGGGGGAUAGCCUCCCGAAAGGGAGAUUAAUACCGCAUAACAUUAGCUUUUCGCAUGGAGAGCUAAUUAAAGGAGUAAUCCGCUUUGAGAUGGACCCGCGGCGCAUUAGCUAGUUGGUGAGGUAAAGGCUCACCAAGGCGACGAUGCGUAGCCGACCUGAGAGGGUGAUCGGCCACAUUGGAACUGAGACACGGUCCAGACUCCUACGGGAGGCAGCAGUGGGGAAUAUUGCACAAUGGGCGAAAGCCUGAUGCAGCAACGCCGCGUGAGUGAUGAAGGCCUUCGGGUUGUAAAGCUCUGUCUUUGGGGACGAUAAUGACGGUACCCAAGGAGGAAGCCACGGCUAACUACGUGCCAGCAGCCGCGGUAAUACGUAGGUGGCGAGCGUUGUCCGGAUUUACUGGGCGUAAAGGAUGCGUAGGUGGAUGUUUAAGUCAGAUGUGAAAUACCCGAGCUUAACUUGGGUGCUGCAUUUGAAACUGGAUAUCUAGAGUGCAGGAGAGGUAAGUGGAAUUCCUAGUGUAGCGGUGAAAUGCGUAGAGAUUAGGAAGAACACCAGUGGCGAAGGCGACUUACUGGACUGUAACUGACACUGAGGCAUGAAAGCGUGGGUAGCAAACAGGAUUAGAUACCCUGGUAGUCCACGCCGUAAACGAUGAGUACUAGGUGUAGGAGGUAUCGACUCCUUCUGUGCCGCAGUUAACACAAUAAGUACUCCGCCUGGGAAGUACGAUCGCAAGAUUAAAACUCAAAGGAAUUGACGG